GCCGUACAAAAUUUUGGUCACAAAAAGAGUAUGCUUUAGUGACCAACUAUAAUGUUGGUCACCAAUUGUUUGGCGGAAAAAGAAAUCAAGCUCCCGCGGUUCCGGCAAUGGUGCCUGUGACGCUGUUUUGGAAGGUAUUAGUGACCAAAUUUAUUUGGUCCCUAUCUCAUUCGUUAUCCUUGCGUCAUAUGUCUCUAUACAUCUCAUCUAAACCCAUGAAACCAGCACGACCUCGUACAGCCUAAUGACCCCAACCUCCCAAAAUUUCCCCUAUUUCCCCACUGUGCGCCCAAUUCUCACACGAUUUUUAAACGUGAAUGCCAAUAGAAAGAGAGAGAGAAUAUCUGCGACCGAUUAGCACCGUCGUCGGCAGUGCAUCUGGACCAUAUCUCUUUGUCACCGAUGAAAACAUUAUCGUCACCACCACAAUAAACAUAAAGCAGACCUUUCAAUAACCCUUAUCUUGGGUCUUCGAUCAACAGUUAGAGAUACUGAGUUUUUUUUUUUUUUUUUGGUGCAAUUAUUUGUUUCUCCUUCUGGUGUCAUAUAUUAAGUUUAUGAUGAUGUAUGAUUAUUUUUAAUUGACAUUUUUUGUUUUUGAUUAGUGAUACAUUAGAAAUAGAAGCUGUUAUUUUUUAAUUCUCAAAUACACUCAUUCUUUGACUGUCAGAAUUGUGAAUUUUUUUAUGUGUGAAAUUGAUAGAGCUUCACUUCUCAUAUUGUGAUACAUUAGCAAUAGAAGCUUUUACUUUCUAAAUGCUCAAGUAUACUAGUUAUUUGACUGGGUCUAUUUUUUUAGAGCAUUAAUUUAAAUAUAUUUCUACAACAAAAUUAAUUGCAUUUCAUGGAAAUUUAAGAACGAUACUAUAUUAUCUUGACCAAUUCUUCAUUUUCCUUGGGGUUAUUAGACUAAGUUUGGUGUGUUUCUAUUCUUUCCUCUUACUUUUCGUCAAAUUUUUACACUUUUAUAAAAGGUAGCUCUCUGCUCUUCUUUCUUUUUUACUCAUAAAGUAAGUCUAUUACAAAAUUUAAUAACAAGAAUUCCCAUCUCAACCCAAUAGUCUAUUACAAAAUUUAAUAGUUUUGUAUACUUUUUGUCUAGAACUUGCUGAAAAUAUUUACCCUUGAAUAUUCUCUUUAAUGGGGCAGCCUCAUAUUUCCCUUAUAUAUUUGAGAUUUUUAGUCUAUGGGUGCCCUUGACAUUUUUUUCAACAAUUCUCUCUUUUUAUAUUUAAUUGAUGUUAAUCAUUUGGGCAAUGUUACUAGCAGUACAACCACCACCAUUUGAAUUUACAUGAUCCACCACAAUAGAGUCACGAUUUUAAGUCUCUUGUCUUUUAUAUAUUUAAUUUGUACCGCUUGGUAAAGACACUAACAUUGUUCUUGUACUUAUCUUGUUAUUAGUUUUGUAGACUUGAUUAUUCUUAAAAUUAGUCGAGGUAUAUUUACUGAUCAUCGACUAGGAUAUUUGACAAGAAAGUCUAAAGUUGGGUUAUGUUGUUGCCAUUUCUAUUACCUUUUCUUUUAACCAUAUUUGUUUUUGUUGGGUUAGUUCUAUUCGUUUAAGGUUUAGUCAUAUCUUUAACUUCUUUUUAUUUUAAUAACAAUGCAUUUUACUUAUUUAAAACUUUUGAACUUUUAAAUUCUUUGUUGCAUUUCAUAUAAUCUCUCAUUUAGUUGGUGAUUAUUUUUUCUUACUUCGCAUUGUUUAUAACAUUCACAAAUGUAGAUGAACAUGAGCUAGAGAUUAAAGAUUUUAUUGAGGUGGCUAAGGCCCAAAAGAAGAAAACUUUAUUCUCGGUGAUGACACUUCAAAUGAAGAAGAUACAUCCAAUGAUGGUUGCUCAGAUGAAGAAGAUAUUAUGUUCUAUGAUGAAGUUUCAAUCUAGUUUUUGUAAUCCUCUCUCUUUGAUCAAUGUUUUUUUAAUAAGGAUACACUAUUUAUUUUGUAGGUAGAGAUUUAUCCAACUUACCACUUUUGGUGGUUAGAUGAGGCAAAUGAAGGCAAGCUUGCAUUCUAUUAACUUCUACCAUCAUUACAGCAAAUGUUGGCUUUAGAGCAUUCCCCCUUAUCUUAAGUUAAUCAGUAACAAUUAACUUGGUAUAUAUGCUGAAACUUCUAGAGUGUUUAUUGAUGAGAUGGCCUCAGGCAAAUAAAGUGUAGCUUUUUUACUGCUUUUUCAUGGAGUGAGAUUUCCACUUUGGAGUUGGAUGAUGUUGUUUCCAAUGUCAUUUAUAUUUCGUACUAAAUUCAAUAGCUUCGUUUAUCUAAGGAGAAAGAGCAAUUGAUUGGGAGGACAUGAAAAAAAUAAACUACUCAUGGAAGUGACAAAGUAAAGUGAUGAGAUUAGUGGCCCCAUAUAUAGGGACUUGGAAGAUUGCUUUUAUGUUUUAGUUUGGUUAUUUUGUGUUGCACAAUUGAAAUUUUAUGUUGUAUUAGAAUCGAACAAUUGAGGGUAGAAAUUUGAUCAAAUUAUGUGUAAGUUUGUAUUUGAACUCGAAUUAUUAUGUACUUCUUAAUGAAAUUUAAUGUUAUGUUUAAAUUUGUGA